UUCCAUUUUCUUCAAAUGUCGGAAAUACUCUAGGAGAUACUCUGCAUUGAAGGUCAUCAGGAACUGUUCCCAAGUGAUUGGAAGGGGCAGGGUGGCCUACUUGAGUCACCAGUGACUUGCCUCUCCCACCAGCAUGUAGGUGGCAAGUAUAACUCUCUGUUCGAGGACCAUCCCAAGAGUCGUGAAAGCCUUCUUUAUUUCAGCUAACUAGUACUCAGCCUCUUUAAAGGAGGAUGUCACU
rnacentral:lncRNA from 1 species